rnacentral:rRNA from 1 species
GACGAACGCUGGCGGCGUGCCUAUACAUGCAAGUCGAGCGAGCUUGCCUAGAUGAUUUUAGUUGCUUGCACUAAAAAUAGAAACUAAGAUACAAGCGAGCGGCGGACGGGUGAGUAACACGUGGGUAACCUGCCCAAGAGACUGGGAUAACACCUGGAAACAGAUGCUAAUACCGGAUAACAAUACUAGACGCAUGUCUAGAGUUUGAAAGAUGGUUCUGCUAUCACUCUUGGAUGGACCUGCGGUGCAUUAGCUAGUUGGUAAGGUAACGGCUUACCAAGGCAAUGAUGCAUAGCCGAGUUGAGAGACUGAUCGGCCACAUUGGGACUGAGACACGGCCCAAAACUCCUGCGGAGGCAGCAGUAGGGAAUCUUCCACAAUGGACGCAAGUCUGAUGGAGCAACGCCGCGUGAGUGAAGAAGGUUUUUCGGAUCGUAAAGCUCUGUUGUUGGUGAAGAAGGAUAGAGGUAGUAAC